rnacentral:lncRNA from 1 species
UAAGUUUACGCAAAUACAACUCUGAGCGAUAUGCAUUUGCUUUGCUAAAACUGAUNAGCUGCUUUCUAUUUACAUCAGUUUGCUUUUGUGUUAUGGUUGAAUUUGUGUUUAAAUUAGAAUUUCUUUCAAUUUACUUUUUCGAGGGUUUUUGGAUUAAUGUUAUAGAGGCAAAAGGAAAGCGGGUGCGUUCCAACCCAACAAGAAAGUGGCUAUGAUUUGCAAAAGUGAAAAACAUUGCAGUGCACUGGAAGGUGACAAGGAAUGUUCGGUAUAUGCGUAUAACAUAUAACAAAGUAGUUGCAUGUUAGGGCUCGACGGCUGCAGGGAGUAUGGAAGGCGAAACUAUAAAGUUCACAUACACUCACACCAAAAGGAUGCGACCUUUCGUAUAUAAACAAUCCAUGCCCGGAAGAUCUCAAAAUAAAUAGCACUAUUUUUAAUUGUAAAUCUAAAGGAAGUUGUGCUCCACUAGAAUUUGUGUUAAAUACACUGUCGUUCUUUAUAUAAUUUAAUAUGNGGNGAAAUUCGCCGAGCNAAGUCGAUGAACACGAACCAUUUCAUUGAAGCGGCUGUCAUAAAUGUUCCUAAGUACAUUANGUCGCCAUUAUCUUAAAAUUUUCACUUCUCCUUGACA